CAGAGGUCCCGAGCGUUGUUCGGAUUCACUGGGCGUAAAGGGUGCGUAGGUGGCGAGGUAAGUCGGAUGUGAAAUCUCCAAGCUUAACUUGGAAAUGGCAUUGGAAACUACCUUGCUCGAGGUUUGGAGGGGGGACUGGAAUUCUCGGUGUAGCAGUGAAAUGCGUAGAUAUCGAGAGGAACACCAGUGGCGAAGGCGAGUCCCUGGACAACACCUGACACUGAGGCACGAAAGCUAGGGGAGCAAACAGGAUUAGAUACCCUGGUAGUCCUAGCUGUAAACGGUGCUUGCUUGCUGUAAAAGGAAUCGACCCCUUUUGUGGCGAAGCCAACGCGUUAAGCAAGCCGCCUGGGAAGUACGGUCGCAAGAUUAA
rnacentral:rRNA from 1 species